GCCGACGCAUCCUACAGCGAUUAUGACGACGAUAAUAGUACUAAAAAUAACGCUGCAUUAGGAUCUUCGUCCACGUUGAUGCGACUCAUCAAUCUUCAAUCGUAUGAUGGAUCAUUCAGCUUGAACGAAGACUUAUCACAGAUCUUAGGAAAAUCGUUGCAGGAACUCAAAGCAGCAUGCGUCACACAUAAUUUGUCCGAACAAAAGUUUGCAACGGCAUUGGCAGUAGAUUUUUUCAGAAGUAAACUAGCCGACGAAAAAGACCGAUGGGAAUUGAUUGUGUCGAAGGCUCAGCAGUGGUUAAGUAGUGCAGUCCAACCAGAAAAUAUGAACGCAGUUACCAAAUUGGCAUCAGACUUUCUAAAAUGAAGCCGAAAAAUGUGACCGUCACCUUUUAUUUGAGACACGAAAGACUCUGUUUUUGUGUGGUUUGUACCGAAUACUUCAACUAAAAAUAAAUAAAAAUAAACGAACUUAAUGAUAA